rnacentral:rRNA from 1 species
UGCAGUCGAACGGUAGAGGGGGCAACCCCUUGAGAGUGGCGAACGGGUGAGUAAUGCAUCGGAACGUGCCCAGUCGUGGGGGAUAGCCCGGGGAAACCCGGAUUAAUACCGCAUACGACCUGAGGGUGAAAGCGGGGGACCGAAAGGCCUCGCGCGAUUGGAGCGGCCGAUGUCGGAUUAGGUAGUUGGUGGGGUAAAGGCCUACCAAGCCUGCGAUCCGUAGCUGGUCUGAGAGGACGACCAGCCACACUGGGACUGAGACACGGCCCAGACUCCUACGGGAGGCAGCAGUGGGGAAUUUUGGACAAUGGGGGCAACCCUGAUCCAGCCAUGCCGCGUGCGGGAAGAAGGCCUUCGGGUUGUAAACCGCUUUUGUCAGGGAAGAAAUGUCCUGGGUUAAUAACCUGGGGGGAUGACGGUACCUGAAGAAUAAGCACCGGCUAACUACGUGCCAGCAGCCGCGGUAAUACGUAGGGUGCGAGCGUUAAUCGGAAUUACUGGGCGUAAAGCGUGCGCAGGCGGUCAUACAAGACAGAUGUGAAAUCCCCGGGCUCAACCUGGGAACUGCAUUUGUGACUGUAUGGCUGGAGUACGGUAGAGGGGAGUGGAAUUCCGCGUGUAGCAGUGAAAUGCGUAGAUAUGCGGAGGAACACCGAUGGCGAAGGCAGCUCCCUGGACCUGUACUGACGCUCAUGCACGA